rnacentral:piRNA from 1 species
UGAAUGAUGUUUGUCGCCAGCUCUCACC